AACGAACGCUGGCGGCAGGCUUAACACAUGCAAGUCGAACGCAUCGCAAGAUGAGUGGCAGACGGGUGAGUAACGCGUGGGAAAAUACCCUUUUCUACCGAAUCGCUCUGGGAAACUGGAAUGAAUACCGUAUACGACCUACGGGGGAAAGAUUUAUCGGGGAAGGAUUGGCCCGCGUUGGAUUAGCUAGUUGGUGGGGUAAAGGCCGACCAAGGCGACGAUCCAUAGCUGGUCUGAGAGGAUGAUCGGCCACAUUGGGACUGAGACACGGCCCAAACUCCUACGGGAGGCAGCAGUGGGGAAUAUUGGACAGAGGGCGCAAGCCUGAUCCAGCCAUGCCGCGUGAGUGAUGAAGGCCUUAGGGUUGUAAAGCUCUUUCACCGAUGAAGAUAAUGACGGUAGUCGGAGAAGAAGCCCCGGCUAACUUCGUGCCAGCCGCCGCCGUAACAC
rnacentral:rRNA from 1 species